CCAGCAGCCGCGGUAAUUCCAGCUCCAAUAGCGUAUAUUUAAGUUGUUGCAGUUAAAAAGCUCGUAGUUGGAUUUCGGGUGGGUUCCAGCGGUCCGCCUAUGGUGAGUACUGCUGUGGCCCUCCUUUCUGUCGGAGACGCGCUCCUGGGCUUCAUUGUCCGGGACGUGGGUUUCGACGUUGAUACUUUGAGUAAAUUAGAGUGUUCAAAGCAAGCCUACGCUCUGAAUACUUUAGCAUGGAAUAUCGCGAUAGGACUCUGGCCUAUCUCGUUGGUCUGUAGGACCGGAGUAAUGAUUAAGAGGGACAGUCGGGGGCAUUCGUAUUUCAUUGUCAGAGGUGAAAUUCUUGGAUUUAUGAAAGACGAACUACUGCGAAAGCAUUUGCCAAGGAUGUUUUCAUUAAUCAAGAACGAAAGU
rnacentral:rRNA from 1 species